rnacentral:misc_RNA from 1 species
AACCAUUCUCACCUGCGGCUAGACCUGCGGAAGGAUCAUUACCGAGUUUACAACUCCCAAACCCAUGUGAACAUACCUAUCGUUGCUUCGGCGGGAUCGCCCCGGGCGCCUCGUGUGCCCCGGAUCCGGCGCCCGCCUAGGAACCUUAACUCUUGUUUUAUUUUGGAAUCUUCUGAGUAGUUUUUACAAAUAAAUAAAAACUUUUAACAAUGGAUCU